rnacentral:sRNA from 1 species
UUUUUCUUUUAUUCAUUGUGUGCCGGUCAUUAACAGUCUAAUUGCCUUGAAACCUAGCUUUCUAAAAAUUUGAUCUCUACUUAAAAGUUUUUAAGCUAAAUCCAGAUUGCUUCCCUCUUUCAUUUUCUUUUAUAACAGAAAUACUCUUCCUAUUCAGUCUUUAUUUUUCUUUUUUUCUCAGUAUAAAUUGGCUGUUGUAGAAUUUUUUCUUCAAUACCCUAUUUCCUGCUUAUCACCGAUGUUUUCUCCCAGAUGUCAGAUUCCAAUGGCUUAAUGAUAUUUAGCAAGUUUGACCAGUUUCUGAAGGAAGUUCUGAAGCUCCCAACAGCUGUCUUUGAAGGGCCAUCUUUUGGUUACACAGAGCACUCAGUCCGCACCUGUUUUCCACAGCAGAGAAAGAUAAUGCUAAAUAUGUUUUUAGACACGAUGAUGGCUGACCCUCCUCCCCAGUGCCUUGUCUGGCUACCUCUCAUGCACAGGCUUGCCCAUGUUGAGAAUGUCUUCCAUCCCGUGGAGUGCUCCUACUGCCGAUGUGAGAGUAUGAUGGGUUU